UGCUUGUUACAAAUUAAACCAUGCAUGUAUAAGUAUAAACGAUUUAAUCGUGAAACCGCGAAUGGCUCAUUAUAACAGCUAUAAUUUACUUGAUCUUGCCUCAAUCCUACUUGGAUAACUGUGGUAAUUGUAGAGCUAAUACAUGCAUUAAAGCUCUGACCUUGCGGGAAGAGUGCAUUUAUUAGAACAAAACCAAGCGGCUUCGGCUGUUUUUGGUUGACUCCUAGUAACUGAUCUGAUCGCAUGGUCUUGCACCGGCGACGUGUCUUUCAAGUAUCUGCCGUAUCAACUUUCUAUGGUAGUGUAUCUGACUACCAUGGUGAUCACGCGUAACGGAGAAUAAGGGUUCGGCUCC
rnacentral:rRNA from 1 species